rnacentral:rRNA from 1 species
CUUAGUGGCGGACGGGUGAGUGACGCGUGGGUAACCUGCCUUGCACUGGGGGAUAACACUUAGAAAUAGGUGCUAAUACCGCAUAAGCGCACGGUCCUGCAUGGGACAGUGUGAAAAACUCCGGUGGUGCAAGAUGGACCCGCGUCUGAUUAGCUGGUUGGCGGGGUAAAGGCCCACCAAGGCGACGAUCAGUAGCCGGCCUGAGAGGGUGGACGGCCACAUUGGGACUGAGACACGGCCCAAACUCCUACGGGAGGCAGCAG